GGGAAGGAGAUCUUGGGCUGGUUUUGUGGUUUUUGGGGUCGAGGGCUACUUGGUUUUUGUUGUGAUGUAGGAUUAGGAGAAAGGUAAAACAAGUUCAAAAGGGUAUAAAGAAAAAUUUAUUAGCAGUAACUAAAAGAAAGACUAAUAAGAAUCAGAACAAAACUUUUAGAACACUUCCCCUCUCCAGCUUGCCUCUCUACAACCUUUUCUUUCCCACUGAGAAUGUAAAGAGGCAAAAUUUAAAAUUUCCAGUUUACUACCUCUAGAAUAGCCUUUCUUCAUUUCACUUAGGGAGAGAAGUCCCUCUUGUUAAUUUUAUGGGGACUUCUCCACAAGACAACCCUUCUCUCCAUGAAUAGCAGGAUGGAGAUUAUAGCAGAUUCCACCCAGGGAAAUCCAUAAGUGUGCAAGCUCUCUCAUUUUCUGUAAGUUUUUCCCACUGCUGUGUUUAUGGGCCGUGUCAGCUUCUGGGGAACUCUCUGACAGAUGAGCUGUUCAAAGGCAAAGAUUUUCAUUAUCUGUCUCUGAAAUCAUCUUCAUCUCCUUCUCUGCCCAAGCUUCUCAUGGGAUCACAGCUGCUUUAACAUCUGCUUGCUUUGGCACGGAGGUUUUUGCUCAAUAUCUGCAAUUUGAACGCUUUCGCCUUCCUAUUCCUUCAUGCGUUGUAGGGGAAAAAGCCACAAGAAAAUUGGCUGGGCACACAAAUUCAUUCAUUCCCGUGACUGCGCUUUUCCGUUGUUCAGUCCUUUGCUGUAUUUUGUCAAAGUUUGUUACCAAACCAUUAAAAUUCUGAAAGUGAGUGCGGAUCUCGUCCCUUCCAGGCACGUUGGAGGCGAGCUGCGUAAUAGACGAGACCACCAAGGUGGCUGCAGCCGGUGCGAGUGACACCAAGGAUGUGACAAAUUCAUUGGACGAGUUCAUGUGCCUCUGCAUCAACAGCACUAAAGAAAAUGCAACACACUGCUAUCGUAAUGGCACAGAAAACUUAGUGGCUGUGGAACAUGAUGAAUGCUAUUAUUAUCAAGCCAAAUUUCAAAGCUGUGUUAAUGUCUACAAGGACAGAAACAUGCUCUGCAUCUGCCUGUGGGUGACAGUGGAUGGUGGGACCUACGGUGUACAUAGGGAUGGAAAAACAUCCACCUUUGAACUCCAGAAAUCCAUGAAGCUGGCAGAGCUCACGUUGACCUGCAAGGCCCAGAAGUGCUCACACGAGUCCUGCAAGUGCGGCCUGACCUCCUCCUCCGCCCUGGCUAAGCUGAAACGGCUGAACUGCACCACAGUGAACUCCGUCAAAAGUGAGAGCAUCGCUGUCACCAGCCCUGGCGUUGUCACC
rnacentral:lncRNA from 1 species